UUUUCAUAAACAUCUUGAAGGGGGGCAUAGGUUGAAGUGUGUGUUCGUCGUGCAGCGUGUUGGUUCGUGCGGCGCAUUGUCCGUCGUGGUGUGACACGGCGCCUCCGGCGCGAGGGAACCUCCUGCUCGCCUUCGGCUCGUUUAAUUUUCAUAAACAUCUUGAAGGGGGGCAUAGGUCGAAGUUUGUGUUUGUCGUGCAGCGUGUUGGUUCGUGCGGCGCGUUGUCCGUUGUGGUGUGACACGGCGCCUCCGGCGCGAGGGAACCUCCUGCUCACCUUCGGCUUGUUUAAUUUUCAUAAACAUCUAGAAGGGGGCAUAGGUCAAAGUUUGUGUUUGUCAUGCAGCGUGCUGGUUUGUGCCGCACAUUGUCCGUCAUGGUGUGACACGGCGCCUUCGGUGCAAGGGAACCUCCUGCUCGCCUUCGACUCAUUUAAUUUUCAUAAACAUUUUGAAGGGGGGGCAUAGGUUGAAGUGUGUGUUGGUCGAACUGUUAGGGAAUGUAGUAAUUUCAAAAAAAUUCCUACGCACACGCAAGAUCAUGGUGAUGCAUAGCAACGAGAGGGGAGAGUGUUGUCCACGUACCCUCGUAGACCGUAAGCGGAAGUGUUAUGACAACGCGGUUGAUGUAAUCGUACGUCUUCAUGGUCGACCGAUCCUAGUAUCGAACGUACGACACCUCCGCGAUCUGCACACAUUCGGCUCAGUGACGUCCCACAAACUCACGACCCAGUAGAGCUUCGAGGGAGAGCUUCGUCAGCACGACGGUGUGAUGACGAUGAUGAUGAAGCUACCGGCAUAGGGCUUCGCCUAAGCACUGCAACGAUAUAACCGAGGUGGAAUAUGGUGGAGGGGGCACCGCACACGGCUUGGAACAAUCAACUUGUAUGUUCUAGGGUGCCCCCCUGCCCCCGUAUAUAAAGGAGCAAAGGGGGAGGCCGGCCGGCCCUUGGUGCGCCCAAGGAGAGGAGGAAUCCUCCUCCUAGUAGGAGUAGGAUUCAUCAUUUCCUAGUCCUACUAGGAAGGAGGAAGGGGGAGGGAAGGAGAGGGACAGGGAGAGGGAAAGAGGGGUCGCGCCCCUUCCCCUAGUCCUAUUCGGACUCCCCUUGGGGGGGGGGGCGCCACCUCCUAGGCUGCUGCCCUCUCUUUCCCCUAAGGCCCACUAAGGCCCAAUACUUCCCCGGGGGGUCCGGUAACCCCUUCGGCACUCCGGUUUUCUCCGAAAUCACCCCGAACACUUCCGGUGUCCAAAUAUAGCCAUCCAAUAUAUCGAUCUUUAUGUCUCGACCAUUUAGAGACUCCUCGUCAUGUCUGUGAUCAUAUCCAGGACUCUGAACUACCUUCGGUACAUCAAAUCACAUAAACUCAUAAUACCGAUCAUCACCGAACGUUAAGCGUGCGGACCCUACGGGUUUGAGAACUAUGUAGACAUGACCAAGACCCAUAUUUGGUCAAUAACCAAUAGCGGAACCUGGAUGCUCAUAUUGGUUCCUACAUGUUCUACGAAGAUCUUUAUCGGUCAAACCUCAUAACAACAUACGUUGUUCCCUUUGUCAUCGGUAUGUUACUUGCCCGAGAUUCGAUCGUCGCUAUCUCAAUACCUAGUUCAAUCUCGUUACAAGCAAGUCUCAUUGCUUGCAAGGCUUAUAGUGAUGUGUAUUACUGAGAGGGCCCAGGGAUACCUCUCCGAUACACGGAGUGACAAAUCCUAAUCUCGAUCUAUGCCAACUCAACAAACACCAUCGGAGACACCUGUAGAGAAUCUUUAUAAUCACCCAGUUACGAUGUGACGUUGGAUAGCACACAAAGUGUUCCUCCGGUAUUUGGGAGUUGCAUAAUUUCAUAGUCAUAGGAACAUGUAUAAGUCAUGAAGAAAGCAAUAGCAACAUACUAAAUGAUCAAGUGCUAAGCUAACGGAAUGGGUCUAGUCAAUCACAUCAUUCUCUAAUGAUGUGAUCCCGUUAAUCAAAUGACAACUCAUGUCUAUGGCUAGGAAACUUAACCAUCUUUGAUUCAACGAGCUAGUCAAGUAGAGGCAUACUCGUGACACUCUGUUUGUCUAUGUAUUCACACAUGUACUAAGUUUUCGGUUAAUACAAUUCUAGCAUGAAUACAUUUAUCAUGAAAUAAGGAAAUAAAUAAUAACUUUAUUAUUGCCUCUAGGGAAUAUUUCCUUCACGUACAACAUGAUGGUUCGUGCGGCGCGUUGUCCGUCGUGGUGUGACACGGCGCCUCCGGCGCGAGGGAACCUCUUGCUCGCCUUUGGCUCGUUUAAUUUUCAUAAACAUCUUGAAUGGGGGACAUAGGUCGAAGUGUGUGUUUGUCGUGCAACGUGUUGGUUCGUGCGGCGCGUUGUCUGUUGUGGUGUGACAUGGCGCCUCCGGCGCGAGGGAACCUCAUGCUCGCCUUCGGCUCGUUUAAUUUUCAUAAACAUCUUGAAGGGGGGCAUAGGUCGAAGUGUGUGUUUGUCGUGCAGCG
rnacentral:lncRNA from 1 species